UACAGAGGUCUCAAGCGUUGUUCGGAUUCAUUGGGCGUAAAGGGUGCGUAGGCGGCUCGGCACGUCCGUUGUGAAAUCGCCCGGCUCAACUGGGCGGGGUCGGCGGAUACGGCCGAGCUGGAGCAAGCUAGGGGGUAAUGGAAUUCCCGGUGUAGUGGUGGAAUGCGUAGAUAUCGGGAGGAACACCAGUGGCGAAGGCGGUUACCUGGAGCUUUGCUGACGCUGAUGCGCGAAAGCGUGGGGAGCGAGUCCGG
rnacentral:rRNA from 1 species